UUUUAAGCAGGAGGUGUCAGAAAAGUUACCAGGGAUAACUGGCUUGUGGUGGCCAAGUGUUCAUAGCGACAUCGCUUUUUGAUCCUUUGAUGUCGGCUCUUCCUAUCAUUCUCAGUUAUAAGUGCAGUUCAUAAGUCUGUACUGGCCUCCUACAGGGGUUUGUAUUCAUAUUCUCCAAAGAAAACUGAAGCAAAUUUUGAUUGACCAGAAGAGGAGAAAUCCAUUUUGGGACAACUUCAGAGUU
rnacentral:ncRNA from 1 species